UACGUAGGGUGCAAGCGUUAAUCGGAAUUACUGGGCGUAAAGCGUGCGCAGGCGGUUUUGUAAGUCCGUCGUGAAAUCCCCGGGCUUAACCUGGGAAUGGCGAUGGAGACUGCAAGGCUAGAGUUUGGCAGAGGGGGGUAGAAUUCCACGUGUAGCAGUGAAAUGCGUAGAGAUGUGGAGGAACACCGAUGGCGAAGGCAGCCCCCUGGGUCAAAACUGACGCUCAUGCACGAAAGCGUGGGGAGCAAACAGG
rnacentral:rRNA from 1 species